rnacentral:rRNA from 1 species
UACGUAGGGACCAAGCGUUGUCCGGAAUCAUUGGGCGUAAAGCGCGUGUAGGCGGCUUGUUAAGUCUUGCGUGAAAUCUCGGGGCUCAACCCCGAGCGGUCGUGAGAAACUGGCAGGCUAGAGUGCGGGAGAGGAGAGUGGAAUUCCUGGUGUAGCGGUGAAAUGCGCAGAUAUCAGGAAGAACACCCGUGGCGAAGGCGGCUCUCUGGAACGCAACUGACGCUGAGACGCGAAAGCGUGGGGAGCAAACAGG